AUCGGGUAUAUAGUCGCACGCGUGACGUCAGCACAGCGCGACAGCCGAAUGCCACUGAACGGUAGCUGACAACGACGCUGAUGAUUGAUGCGGAUUGAGGCUGAGAACGGAGUUAAGUGAAACGUGGUUGCUGAGCAGCGCCCAUCGCCUCGCUGGGGGAAUACUGGACAGCGCAACGGCAGGGGAGAUAGCACUGUCUGUUGGUUUCCUGGGAGAGCGUGUUCUUCAGUUGGGGCAGGCUAUCCGCCAUGGUGAAUGUAAGUGCAAGUUGGUAUUGUAAAUAGGGACUGUUUUCUUUAUUUUUAUAAUAUGUCCUGUAACCAAAUGCAUUUAAUAACAUGACUGUAUUUUGGAUGUGUGCUUAGUAGUGUCUAUUCUUUGUUUUAUAACAGGAAUAGUCCACUACUGUUGUCUUAUUUUGGGUCUUAUUUUGGUCUUAUCUUUUCUUUUCUUUCUUCACCGGUCUCUUUGACCUGAACCAGUUUUUUGUUGGGAGUCCUGAGUUUCAGUUUAUGGACAUUGAAGAUACUUUUUGUUCAUAAGGAAUAUAUUGAACCUUGAAGAGAGGUGUUUCUUGUUGCUACCUAAAUGUUACAGAGGAACCUAAGUUAUUUUGUGGAAACACACAAACCAAACAAAUUAAUGCUGCUCUCCUUUUGGGGAACAGUCGGGAAAUAAAAGACCCACAUUAUUUUUGGAGCUGCCUGUCGUGUGCGGUUUUUUUCUCGUUCCUACACCUGGCCCCACACCCACACGCCACCGCCAGCC